UACGUAGGGGGCAAGCGUUGUCCGGAAUCAUUGGGCGUAAAGAGCGUGUAGGCGGUCCGGUAAGUCGGUUGUGAAAGUCCAGGGCUCAACCCUGGGAUGCCGGCCGAUACUGUCGGACUAGAGUUCGGAAGAGGCGAGUGGAAUUCCCGGUGUAGCGGUGAAAUGCGCAGAUAUCGGGAGGAACACCUAUGGCGAAGGCAGCUCGCUGGGACGUUACUGACGCUGAGACGCGAAAGCGUGGGGAGCAAACAGG
rnacentral:rRNA from 1 species